ensembl:lncRNA LNCRNA-IUR lncRNA imatinib upregulated
UUUCUCCUCCCUGCCUAACUGGUGAGGUGGGACUUCAAUGCCUUUUAGGUUUACAGUCUUUUCCUCCCCACGGCUUCUCUUUCCUCCCCGUCUCAGGCACUGGGCAUUUCCAGUCGAUCCAGCAGGUCUGGCUUCUCUCACAUAUGCAGUAAGGGUUAGGGGAGAAGGUCCCAGCUCCUCUUGUCUCUAGCAGAGUGUAAACUGGCUCUGCUGAGGAGGUGGCUGUGCUUUUAUUCCUUCUCCUGAGAACUGUUUAUAUAUUAAGGAGCUUCACAGCCUCCAACAUAAGGAAAGCAGGUAGGAACUGAUCAUAUAACGCUUUGUAAAUGUUUUAGACUUUGGCUUUAAUGGGAAAGAAAUGGGGAGCCAUUCGUGGGUUUUUGAGCAGCAGGUGGACAUUGCUUUUCAUAAUGACCACGCCAGCUGCUGUUUGGAGAAUAGACUGUAGGGGUCACUGCGCAAAUUGGAGGCCGCGAUCCAGGUGAGAACCAGGUGAAACAGAGCUCGGGCCAUGGAGUGGCGCUGGAGGCCUCAAACUUCUUCAUGGGAAAAGAUGGCUUCUCUUUUUUAAUUGAAUGAACUAGAAGAAGUUCAUUGUUAUUCAUCAACUUCAAAGAGACUAUAUGAGGCCCCUUGGCCAGGACUACAGAGCAGUAUUUUUUAAUCAGAAAUUAUAGCCAAAAAGAAGAGACCAGAACACAUGGAAUUGAAAGAAACUACUUUAAAUUUCAUAUGGAACCAAAAAAAGCCCAUAUAGCCAAGAUGAUCCUAAGCAAAAAGAGCAAAGCUGGAGGCAUCAUGCUACCUGGCUUCAAACUAUACUACAAGGCUACAGUAACAAAAACAGCAUGGCACUGGUACUAAAACAGAUAUAUAGACCAAUGGAACAGAACAGAGGCCUCAGAAAUAACGCCACACAUCUACAACCAUCUGAUCUUUGACAAACCUGACAAAAACAAGCAAUGAGGAAAGGAUUCCCUAUUUAAUAAAUGGCGUUGGGAAAACUGGCUAGCCAUAUGCAGAAAACUGAAACUGGACCCCUUCCUGAUACCUUAAACAAAAAUUAAUUCAAGGUAGAUUAAGGACUUAAACAUAAGACCUAAAACCAUAAAAACCCUAGAAGAAAAGCUAGGCAAUACCAUUCAGGACACAGGCAUGGGCAAAGACUUCAUGACUAAAACACCAAAAGCAAUGGCAACAAAAGCCAAAAUAGACAAAUGGGAUCUAAUUAAACUAAAGAGCUUCUGCACAGCAAAAGAAACUAUCAUCAGAGUGAACAGGCAAUCUACAGAAUGGGAGAAAAUUUUUGCAAUCUAUCCAUCUGACAAAGGGCUAAUAUCCAGAAUCUACAAGGAACUUAAACAAAUGUACAAGAAAAAAACAACCUCAACAAAAAGUGGGCAAAGGAUAUGAACAGACACUUCUCAAAAGAAGACAUUUAUGUGGUCAACAAACAUAUGAAAAAAAAGCUCAUCAUCACUGGUCAUUAUAGAAAUGCAAAUCAAAAACACAUGAUUAAAUCAUGAUCAUUAAAAAGUCAGGAAACAACAGAUGCUGGAAAGGAUGUGGAGAAAAUAGGAAUGCUUUUACACUGUUGGUGGGAGUGUAAAUUAGUUCAUCUAUUGUGGAAGACCGUGUGGCGAUUCCUCAAGGAUCUAGAACCAGAAAUACCAUUUGACCCAGCAAUCCCAUUAGUGGGUAUAUACUCAAAGGAUUAUAAAUCAUUCUACUCUAAAGACAUAUGCACAUGUAUGUUUACUGCAGCACUAUUCACAAUAGCAAAGACUUGGAACCAACCCAAAUGCCUAUCAAUGAUAGACUGGAUAAAGAAAAUGUGGCACAUAUACAC